rnacentral:rRNA from 1 species
AUACGGAGGAUCCGAGCGUUAUCCGGAUUUAUUGGGUUUAAAGGGUGCGCAGGCGGCCAUUUAAGUCAGCGGUUAAAUCGUGGGGCUCAACCCCAUUCUGCCGUUGAUACUGGGUGGCUUGAUUGCGGUCAAGGUUGGCGGACUUCGUUGUGUAGCGGUGAAAUGCAUAGAUAUGACGAAGAACACCGAUUGCGUAGGCAGCUGACCAGACCGCAAAUGACGCUCAUGCACGAAAGUGCGGGGAUCGAACAGGAUUAGAUACCCUGGUAGUCCGCACAGUAAACGAUGAAUACUUGUUUUCGGCGAUAUAAUGUCGGAGGCAAAGCGAAAGCGAUAAGUAUUCCACCUGGGGAGUACGCCGGCAACGGUGAAACUCAAAGGAAUUGACGGGG